UGCCCCUGCUUCUUGUAGUAGAAGCAUUCUGCCUGACUUUGGUCAGACUUGAGUUUUUUGGUUUGACAGGGCUUGGGUGCCCCAGCACUUUACACCUUUUUCUUAUUCUUCUUGUUCUUCUUUCUUUUUUUAAAGGGUCGACGUCCAGCAGAAGAUCCUCCAACAAUAUUCAUCGACUCUUUGUGGAGCUGAUGAUCCUUCUCAAAGUUCUACAGCA
rnacentral:lncRNA from 1 species